rnacentral:rRNA from 1 species
CUACGGGCGGCUGCAGUGAGGAAUAUUGCACAAUGGGGGGAACCCUGAUGCAGCAACGCCGCGUGGAGGAUGACGCAUUUCGGUGUGUAAACUCCUUUUAUAUGUCAAGAAAAUGACGGUAGCAUAUGAAUAAGCACCGGCUAACUCCGUGCCAGCAGCCGCGGUAAUACGGAGGGUGCAAGCGUUACUCGGAAUCACUGGGCGUAAAGGACGCGUAGGGGGGUGGAAAGUCAGGUGUGAAAUCCUACAGCUUAACUGUGGAACUGCACUUGAAACUUCUAAUCUAGAGUAUGGGAGGGGGAGAUGGAAUUAGUGGUGUAGGGGUAAAAUCCGUAGAUAUCACUAGGAAUACCUAAAGCGAAGGCGAUCUCCUGGAACAUUACUGACGCUAAGGCGUGAAAGCGUGGGGAGCAAACAGGAUUAGAUACCCCCGUAGUC